rnacentral:rRNA from 1 species
UCCAGACUCCUACGGGAGGCAGCAGUGAGGAAUAUUGGUCAAUGGGCGGGAGACUGAACCAGCCAAGCCGCGUGAGGGAGGAAGGUACAGAGUAUCGUAAAUCUCUUUUGUCAGGGAACAAAGACUGGGACGCGUCCCCGGAUGAGUGUACCUGAAGAAAAAGCAUCGGCUAACUCCGUGCCAGCAGCCGCGGUAAUACGGAGGAUGCGAGCGUUAUCCGGAUUUAUUGGGUUUAAAGGGAGCGUAGAUGGGUUGUUAAGUCAGUUGUGAAAGUUUGCGGCUCAACCGUAAAAUUGCAAUUGAUACUGGCAGCCUUGAGUACAGUUGAGGUAGGCGGAAUUCGUGGUGUAGCGGUGAAAUGCUUAGAUAUCACGAAGAACUCCGAUUGCGAAGGCAGCUUACUAAACUGCCACUGACAUUGAUGCUCGAAAGUGUGGGUAUCAAACAGGAUUAGAUACCCCGGUAAG